ensembl:lncRNA
UUUUUGAGUUUCAUAUUUUUAUGUCAUAUAUUCUGAAAUGCUAAUUUUCAAUGCAUGCUGAAAAUACUGUGUUAUGUGUGAAUUCUAGUUAGACAUGUUAGACAUUUGAUAAGAUCUUUUUUGCCUUAAACCAGGUUGAGACUCCUGAACAUGUUUAAAGGUUUUUUUAAUGAUGAUCAAAUGUAGUGCAAAAUAUGACCCAAACGACUGUUAUGUUUUUGUUGUGAUCUUAGUAGUCACAAAGGGGGGGAUGUGUGGUAGAAAUUAGUGAGUAUAUUCUAUGGUAAACCAUGAUUAUUAAUAGGUUUUUUGGAAACCACAAGAUGCUUGCAGUGUCUGGGUUCAGAGCAGAUGGUAGGUGCACAGGAAUGUAUAGGGAACUGGGGGGAAGCUAAGUUGGUCUCAGCCCUUUCAGCCUUGGGUCAAGCUAAAGUUGACCUCAGCCCUUUCAGCUUUGGGUCAUCUUGGUUAAUGAGGUUGAUCCAUGCAGACCUCAGAACUGGGCAGUUGAUAACAUGCUGGGACGAAGAUUGACGGGCGGAAACCCUGUUGUGACUCCAUUGUAAACAAAGAAAUUCCUAUACGUGUAUAAAGUGAGGCUGCAGCCCAAUGUUGGGCCAGUGACUCUGCAGACCCACUCAGGCUGUUGUCGUUGUUGUUUUUCUGCACGAUAAAGUCUUUUGUCAAUUCUUGCUCCGGACCCCUCGUUUUGUUUUACUCUCUCUCUCCUAAAUUAGUCUAAGUGUUUUAUAUCUCGGUUAAUCUUCUAUACCUGUAAGAUCAAUUCAGCAGCACUAUGCCCAACUUAGACAUCUCCUUAAAAAGCCUGACCAAGUAAGCCCACUGCUCCCCAUAGGAGCAUACUACACCCACCUCAUCACCCCGUUACAGCCUGUGAAGUUAGGUCCCCCUGCAGUGAUCCAAACCCUGCUUGGCUGGACACUGCAGGGCCCUGCUAGGGAUAUUGCUAGCUCCCCGGGUGUCACUAUAUCUCCCACCUGAUGACAUCCAUCACAAUGUGCAGAAACUAUGGCAGCUGGACGUGUUGUCUCCGAGAAGCAUCAGAGAGGUGGUGCGCUCUAAACACGAUCAGCAGACAAUCCAGUAACUGGAGACACAAACCAUCAGGGACCUGUUAAUGGAGUCCUACGGUAUACCAAUCCUCUUCUCAGAGCACACCCCUGGCUCCCCCUCAAGGCCCAGAAGGAGCCGGCUAUGUCCCGUCUUUGCAGCUGUGAAAGGAGACUCUCAAAACCUGCAACAGGCAGAGACCUAUAACGAGAUCCAGAAAUGUAUUACUGCCGGACAGUAUCCGCUUCCUGUGUUGUCCAGGCCAUCAGAG